GGCCUAAUUCAAGGCUACGUGCAAUCUG
rnacentral:piRNA from 1 species